rnacentral:siRNA from 1 species
ACCGGUGACCUUUAAACUUUGCUU